CAGCAUGGCCUAGAUCGCAGCAAGAAGGGCCAGGCCGCAGCAGGAAGGAUCUUCUUGCUGUGGCCUGGACCUUCUCGCUGCAAACUGGGCCCAUGGC
rnacentral:pre_miRNA from 1 species